GCUGGUGGGCCCGGACCGCUUCUUGGGCCGCGCCGCCCUCCCGCUGGCCGCGCUACUGCAGGACGGACGCUCCCACCCGGACCGGUGGUACAAGCUCCACUCCAAGCCAGGCAAGAAGGAGAAGGAGCGGGGUGAGAUCCAGCUGAGCCUGCAGUUCACGCGCCACAGCCUGACGGCCAGCAUGUUCGACUUGUCGGUCAAGGAGAAGCCGCGCUCGCCCUUCCGGCGGCUGAGGGACAAGAUGAAGGGGAAGCACAGCUACGACCUGGACUCUUCCUCUGCCAUCGUGCCCAGCAGCAGCGGGGCCCUGGACCACGACUUCAGCCUGGGGCCCCCCAAGGACAAGGCCCGGGGGAGCUUCUUCUUCAAGGGCCAGCUGCGCCGCUCCUCCCUGACCCGCUCCAUCACCUCCCUGGGCUCCGCCAGCACCCUCUCCUCCGCCAGCAGCCUGGGGGCCCUGGGCAGUGCCGAGGGGGGGGUGCCCUCGCCCAGCCGGCACAGCAGCCUCUCCACUGACCCUGUCGGAAGAGACUUUCUGCCCUCCCCCCAGCUGACCCACAAGAGGGCCUUCAGCGAUGAGGUGUCCCAGAUCAACCUGCUGCCAGAAGCCACCCAGGGCCAGAAGACCCCAAAGGACCCCUCCUCGGGGUCCUCCCUCUGCAUCAAUGGGAGCCACAUUUACUGCGAGGAGCCCUCCCCCAAACCCUCCUUCCUCUCACUGGCCCCCCUCCCUCCCGCCCAGAGCGAUCCUAGCAAGAAGGAGCGGAGGGGCUCGGGGGCCGGACUGCCUGCUGUUGAACCGGACCUGCCGCCCUGGCCUGCCAGCGGUCUCCAGAAAGGACCCCCGAAAGACCUCCCCGGUCAUCCCCUCGCCCCCUAUUUUGGCGGCCCAGGAAGAAGACAAGCUCUCCGUCAAGACCAUCGCCCUGAACAAGCAGCGGGUCCGAGCCAGAAGGGAAGAGGAGGAGGGUCUGCAGGCUGAGAGCAAGCCCAUCCCCAUGGCCGCCCCCCUGGCUUUCCCCUCGGAGGUCCGGAGGGUGAGGCCUCAAGACGAGAGGGACCAUCGCGGGAACCUCAAGGGCCAUGGCCAGAGCCCCGAGCCGAGUCUGGGGGCCGCACCUGGAGGGAAAGAGGAGGCUUGGAGUGGCGGCAGCAGCCGGAUCAGUCUGGGAGACCCUAGAGAACCAGUCCGAAAGCCCAGUUCCCUGCCUGGCCUGCCUGCCACUCCAAAGCUCGCCAAGGACCCCCGGGAGGUCUCUGAGGAUCAGGGCCUCCCUCCCUCCAUCCAGGCCGGAGAAGCGCAGCCCGAGCCCCUCGCCCCACCUGCCAGCCACCUUCAGCCAUCGCCUGCCGCUGCUACCACCGCCGCUGCUCCUGCGCGCCCACCCAUGGAAGGGGACGAUGGCUUUGACGCCUUUGCCGCCAGCCGCCUCCAGCCAGCCACUCUGGGGCCUGAACCCCCUGCCACCACGGAGCCCCCAGAGGGGGCGGCUGGUCUCCUCCCACAGCAGGAGGAAAGGCCCCCCAGCCCUGAUGGGGUCUCACAGCAGAAUCCGGACUGGCUGAGCUUCGCUUUUGAGGACAGAGGCCGGGCCUGGAGCGGGUCUGGG
rnacentral:lncRNA from 1 species